rnacentral:lncRNA from 1 species
GUCGUUACUGAGCUAUUAUGUAUGCUUGUUUCGUUAAUAAUAAACAUCAUCACUGUAUGAAUGUGGUGAUAGCUAGGUAAGGUUAUAUGAGCACCUUCGGUGUGCUCUUAUGGCUUUACCUGUGUUUUGCUACUGCAAAGUUUUAACCACCAUGAAAUAAAAGAUCUUCAAGUAUAUUAUGUUUUAAUUUCUUUGAAAUUAAUGAAAAUCAAAC